rnacentral:tRNA from 1 species
GAGGGUAUUGCUCAGUGGUAGAGCACACGCUUAGCGUGCAGGAGGCCCUGGGUUCAAUCCCCAGUAUCUCCA